rnacentral:rRNA from 1 species
GACGAACGCUGGCGGCGUGCCUAACACAUGCAAGUCGAACGGAGAUUACAGCAAUGUAAUCUUAGUGGCGGACGGGUGAGUAACGCGUGGGCAACCUGCCUUUUACUGGGGGAUAACACAGGGAAACUUGUGCUAAUACCGCAUAACAUCAUGAAAGGACAUUCCUUUUAUGAUCAAAGGAGCAAUCCGGUAGAAGAUGGGGCCCGCGUCCGAUUAGCUAGUUGGCGGUGUAACGGACCACCAAGGCGACGAUCGGUAGCCGAACUGAGAGGUUGAUCGGCCACAUUGGGACUGAGACACGGCCCAGACUCCUACGGGAGGCAGCAGUGGGGAAUAUUGCGCAAUGGGGGAAACCCUGACGCAGCAACGCCGCGUGAAGGAUGAAGGUUUUCGGAUCGUAAACUUCUUUGAUGAGGGACGAAGAAAUGACGGUACCUCAAAAACAAGCCACGGCUAACUACGUGCCAGCAGCCGCGGUAAGUCACUAUCGA